rnacentral:rRNA from 1 species
AGUGAACGCUGGCGGUAGGCCUAACACAUGCAAGUCGAACGGCAGCACAGUAAGAGCUUGCUCUUACGGGUGGCGAGUGGCGGACGGGUGAGGAAUACAUCGGAAUCUACUUUUUCGUGGGGGAUAACGUAGGGAAACUUACGCUAAUACCGCAUAUUACCUACGGGUGAAAGCAGGGGAUCUUCGGACCUUGCGCGAUUGAAUGAGCCGGUGUCGGAUUAGCUAGUUGGCUGGGUAAAGGCCCACCAAGGCGACGAUCCGUAGCUGGUCUGAGAGGAUGAUCAGCCACACUGGAACUGAGACACGGUCCAGACUCCUACGGGAGGCAGCAGUGGGGAAUAUUGGGCAAUGGGCGCAAGCCUGAUCCAGCCAUACCGCGUGGGUGAAGAAGGCCUUCGGGUUGUAAAGCCCUUUUGUUGGGAAAGAAAAGCAGCAGGUUAACACCCCGCUGUUCUGACGGUAACCAAAGAAAAAGCACCGGCUAACUUCAUG